AGCGAACGCUGGCGGCAGGCCUAACACAUGCAAGUCGAACGAAGUCUUCGGACUUAGUGGCGGACGGGUGAGUAACACGUGGGAACGUGCCUUUAGGUUCGGAAUAACUCAGGGAAACUUGUGCUAAUACCGAAUGUGCCCUUCGGGGGAAAGAUUUAUCGCCUUUAGAACGGCCCGCGUCUGAUUAGCUAGUUGGUGAGGUAGAGGCUCACCAAGGCUACGAUCAGUAGCUGGUCUGAGAGGAUGACCAGCCACAUUGGGACUGAGACACGGCCCAAACUCCUACGGGAGGCAGCAGUGGGGAAUCUUGCGCAAUGGGCGAAAGCCUGACGCAGCCAUGCCGCGUGGAUGAUGAAGGUCUUAGGAUUGUAAAAUCCUUUCACCGGUGAAGAUAAUGACUGUAGCCGGAGAAGAAGCCCCGGCUAACUUCGUGCCAGCCGCCGCCGUAAUAC
rnacentral:rRNA from 1 species